AUUGAACGCUGGCGGCAGGCUUAACACAUGCAAGUCGAGCGGAGAUGAGGUGCUUGCACCUUAUCUUAGCGGCGGACGGGUGAGUAAUGCUUAGGAAUCUGCCUAUUAGUGGGGGACAACAUUCCGAAAGGAAUGCUAAUACCGCAUACGCCCUACGGGGGAAAGCAGGGGAUCUUCGGACCUUGCGCUAAUAGAUGAGCCUAAGUCGGAUUAGCUAGUUGGUGGGGUAAAGGCCUACCAAGGCGACGAUCUGUAGCGGGUCUGAGAGGAUGAUCCGCCACACUGGGACUGAGACACGGCCCAGGCUCCUACGGGAGGUAGCAGUGGGGAAUAUUGGACAAGGGGCGGAAGCCUGAUCCAGCCAUGCCGCGUGUGUGAAGAAGGCCUUUUGGUUGUAAAGCACUUUAAGCGAGGAGGAGGCUACCUGGAUUAAUACUCUAGGAUAGUGGACGUUACUCGCAGAAUAAGCACCGGCUAACUCUGUGCCAGCAGCCGCCGUAAUAC
rnacentral:rRNA from 1 species